rnacentral:piRNA from 1 species
UGGGUCAGUCAUCUUAUGCAUGCCGGU